UACGUAGGGGUGCAAACGUUGUUCGGAAUUACUGGGCGUAAAGCGCGUGUAGGCUGUCUCAUAAGUCGGAUGUGAAAGCCCUGGGCUCAACCUAGGAAGUGCAUUCGAAACUGCGAGACUUGAGUCCUGGAGAGGAAGGCGGAAUUCUCGGUGUAGAGGUGAAAUUCGUAGAUAUCGAGAGGAACACCGGUGGCGAAGGCGGCAUCCUGGACCAACACUGACGCUGAGGAGCGAAAGCCAGGGGAGGCAAACAGG
rnacentral:rRNA from 1 species